ACGUACACUCCUGCGGGAGGCAGCAGUGGGGAAUAUUGGACAAUGGGCGCAAGCCUGAUCCAGCCAUGCCGCGUGAGUGAUGAAGGCCCUAGGGUUGUAAAGCUCUUUCACCGGAGAAGAUAAUGACGGUAUCCGGAGAAGAAGCCCCGGCUAACUUCGUGCCAGCAGCCGCGGUAAUACGAAGGGGGCUAGCGUUGUUCGGAAUUACUGGGCGUAAAGCGCACGUAGGCGGAUCGAUCAGUCAGGGGUGAAAUCCCAGGGCUCAACCCUGGAGCUGCCUUUGAUACUGUCGAUCUGGAGUAUGGAAGAGGUGAGUGGAAUUCCGAGUGUAGAGGUGAAAUUCGUAGAUAUUCGGAGGAACACCAGUGGCGAAGGCGGCUCACUGGUCCAUUACUGACGCUGAGGUGCGAAAGCGUGGGGAGCAAACAGGAUUAGAUACCCCUGUAGUCCCAU
rnacentral:rRNA from 1 species